CCUACGGGGGGCAGCAGUGGGGAAUAUUGGACAAUGGGGGGAACCCUGAUCCAGCCAUGCCGCGUGUGUGAAGAAGGCCCUCGGGUUGUAAAGCACUUUCAGUGAGGAAGAACGCCUGGUGGUUAAUACCCAUCAGGAAAGACAUCACUCACAGAAGAAGCACCGGCUAACUCCGUGCCAGCAGCCGCGGUAAUACGGAGGGUGCGAGCGUUAAUCGGAAUUACUGGGCGUAAAGCGCGCGUAGGUGGCUUGAUAAGCCGGUUGUGAAAGCCCCGGGCUCAACCUGGGAACGGCAUCCGGAGCUGUCAAGCUAGAGUGCAGGAGAGGAAGGUAGAAUUCCCGGUGUAGCGGUGAAAUGCGUAGAGAUCGGGAGGAAUACCAGUGGCGAAGGCGGCCUUCUGGACUGACACUGACACUGAGGUGCGAAAGCGUGGGUAGCAAACAGGAUUAGAUACCCGGGUAGUC
rnacentral:rRNA from 1 species